AUUGAACGCUGGCGGUAUGCUUAACACAUGCAAGUCGAACGGCAGCAUGCCAAUUUUUCGGAAUUGGUGAUGGCGAGUGGCGGACGGGUGAGUAAUAUGUAGGAAUCUGCCCUAGAGUAACGGACAACCUGAGGAAACUCAGGCUAAUACGGUAUAAUCUCUGAGGAGCAAAGCUGGGGACCUUCGGGCCUGGCGCUCUAGGAUGAGCCUACAUCAGAUUAGCUAGUUGGUAGGGUAAAGGCCUACCAAG
rnacentral:rRNA from 1 species